CUGUUGACAUAGUAGCAGUAUCAUAGCCCAUGAGGUUAAACCGAGGCGUGAUUAUUGCUAGGUGAAAAUUUCUCUACCAAACAGGAGAUGACAGAGGUUGGUAACAAGGCUAUUCAGUCUAGCUGCCUUAAAUCUCUAUUUUGAAUUCCUUUCAGUCUCAUUUACCUGGAGG
rnacentral:snRNA from 1 species